CUAUUAUACAAUGUGUUGAGUGUUUCAUUAGUAGUCAUUUAAACUUUUAGUAGAGAAAAGUAUGCUUUAUGGAGUGAAAUAUUUGUUAUAAAAAAAGCAUCACUGAAGGAGAGAAUUUCUUUAUACGGACAUUUGGAUUUUGUGUUCAUCAAAGUCGUAGUCAUCAUUGACAUUGAAACAAUAUGAGGUCAAAUCGCCAGUGGCUAUAUAUGCAAUUAUUAGUUAACACAGUCUGUUGUAUUUAUGGUAUACAAGAAAAACUGUUGUUCACCACUUCAAAUAAAAUGAAAGAAAAAGAUCUGGAUACAGGAGUCGUGGAAGAACUAGCUAAUCUUAGUACAAACGUAUAUUCCAUAGCUUACGAUGUGAAAGAAAGAUAUGUGUAUGUUCCAAGAUUUCAUGAAAAUGUCAUCGAUAGAUUCCCUUAUCCAAAUGAACAAACCGUAAAUUUUGAAUUCGUUAUAUCAACAAACAGCCCAUUUUACGUAACAUUUGACUCAGAAAACAGUCAUCUAUACUGGACAGGAAAUAGAGAUAUUAUGAGAUGUAAUUCAGAUGGAUCCAAUUUAACCACUAUUGUUAAUGUACCUUAUCCACUUGCACUAACAUUAGACACACAUAAUAGAUGGAUAUACUAUAGUACACACGAAAGUAAUCCAUUGCACAGGGUGACAUUUGACGGAAAAGAAAAUCACGUAGUACUUUACCUGACAGAGUUGACGAUAUAUAUAAAAGUAGAUUUUGUUGACAAGCGAGUUUAUUGGAUGGAAUAUCUAACGGGUGACUUGAAAUCUGCUUUGUGUAAUGGGUCUGAUGUUAAAACAGUGGUUAGCACAAAUGUAAACUAUAACCGGGAAAUUGAUAUUGGGGGUGAUUACGUCUUCUACGCAAGUUCUUAUAACAUUUUAAAGGUACACAAAUCUUCAGGACAAAUCCCAGCUGUUGUUCAUACAGAAACAAUAAAGAUAUAUGGACUUUUAUUUUAUAAACAAGAAGGUAAGAAUAUAUCAGUAAUCAAGCCAAUAAACUUUAUUAUUCAUUUCAAUGAAUAACAUUAUUUACCUGAAACAAUUAAAAUUACAUGUAUUAAUAAUGUUUUACAGUAAAUAAUUAUCAUCGACCGAGGCAUAACUUUACAAUUUACCAAACUCAGCCUGUUAAAUAAACACGAAAUUGAGAAAAUACAGACACCGACAAAUUAUACAUUGUAGAAAUAUAGCCCUUCUUAAACUGUUUUUCCUGUUUCAAUAUUAUGCAUUUAGAUUGGUACCGGUCCAAUUAUCAUGUAAUAACAGAAUUUGUUGUAAUAGUGAUAUUGCAGUAGCAUCAAUGGAUGUUGUUAAAAGAUGAAAUGCAUACUUAAUUUUUUAAAUGUUAACAAUGUUCAUGAAAACCAUAAAUUGAUAUAUAAUUGUAUAAAUAGUUCAAGAACAUAUAAAAGUUUUAGCGAUCGAUUUGUGUAUCUAUUUAUCAUAUUGAUUACUGGAUAUUUUACAUGAUUUUUUUAAUAACAAUUUGUACUAACCGACGCUUUCAAACUUUAUAUGUAUUAGAAUGCUUUACUUAUUCUAGCGAUGUAUGGUCAUGAAUUAUGAACGUUUUUUUUUAAUUUUCAACAAAUGCAUUUCCAAUGAUUUCAAAUGAUCUAAAUACAAGUGAUUGCAUGUUUGCAAUUCCUCUUGAAUUAAUUGAUAUAAUGACUAAAUAAAUACAUGCAUGAUUGUGCCAACCAACUACAUCUGUUAAUUUAAUGUGUUUGUCAAAUUGUACACAGUUACAUUAAACAAAAAAAGGCUAUAAUCAAUAAGUAAGAAAAUUCGUUUAAGUUUCUGAUUUUCCCACGCUUGUAGACGUGGUACUUAUAUAAUUUUAUAUACUUUUUAUUGAGAGCUGAACAAUGUUUGCAAUAUAUCUUAAAUAUGUUUUUAUUUAUUUUGUUUUAUGACGAAUGUCCGGGUACAUGCAUUAAAUGAGCGACCAUAUUCGUACAAUCAAAGGUUUGUAAUAUUGAAAUGACUGAUAUAAAUUAAAAAGACAGCAUCCCAACUACAUCAUGUGUCACCAAAUUAAAUGUAUGGACAUGUCCAACCACUGUCAUAUAUUGAGUAAAAUGUUCUUCAUGUUUUUAUCAACAAAAAACAUUUUAGUUAUCAAAUAAAGUAAAACGAUUUUAUUAUCGUUCGCAUUCUUUUUUAUUCAGAUUUGUAAAUGAGUAUCACUUGAUAUAAAUACAUUAACUCCACACUUAUAUGUACGAAACCCGUGAUCCAUUAAAAAUCGUCGCAUAACCUGCGUACACAUAUAUUUUUUUUUUGUAAGAAAACUGUAUGGAAUUUGUUGAUCAUUGUUCUAUGUUUAAUGUUAAAAUGUGAAGCAUGCCCAUUUGAUAUAAAAUUUAGCGAUUUUUCGCUUUAACAUACUUUAUUUUUUUUAUUUUACUGCAUAUAUUGAACCGCAAAUGGAGCAAAACGAAUUUAGAGAAAUAUGUUGGGAAAUUCUGUUUGGUGUCAAUAAAUCUACGACUAGAAGACAGGGAAGAGACGAUCAAAUUACAAUAAUGAGCAUAUGUUCCAAACAACUUAAUCAUUCUUGCAUGCACUGUUAAAGGGAUAUACUUUCAAAUUGGAAAAGAUUUAUCUAACGAACAGAUAUACAGACUACUGGUACCCAUUUGCCGGAAAUGAAUUAACAGUAAUAACAAAGAAACCGACAACAUAGGAGUAUAGAAUACAAACUACUAACUACAACAUAAAUCAAACAUCUUAAAAGAACUAACCGAACUGCUGGAUAUUAGAAUUGUUUAAUUUUAACGAUAUUCUCCUGGUGCAAAUGUUGUUUUAGUCACCAGUGAUGUCAACUACGGCAAACUAUGUUUUAUGUAUUUUUAAAUGUAUCUUUUGUCUUCAAAAUCUUUUAGAUUUGCAUACCAGGUUCUAAUUACGAUUUCGACAAAAUAGCUCUUUGAACUUAAUAAGUACACCAUGUAAUCUAUAUGGUUCCUCCGAAGAAAUAUCGUAACUCGUACUUGAAUGCUAAAAUUUUAGCAUCUUUAGAUGUCCUGUUGUAUGAAUAAGAAAUGGCCGAAUUAGCGGUAGCAACUCAUUUUGUAUGCCAAUGACAACUAUUAUCCUUUAAAUUUUGGAAUAAAACAUUUACCUUUUUCCACGAUACCACACAUACUGUACAACGGUAAAUGCGCAAUUUGUCAACAGAAGCAUAAACACUUCCGCUUUAGAUAGUUGAAAUACCAAGUCAAGUACAAAAUUGGUGAGAUCUGCAAAUAAAACACUUAAAUAAGAAAAGAUACCAAUUAAUGUAUAAAAUAAUAUUCAAUUUUUGUAUUAUGGACAAGGUACUGUGUUGCGGUUGAUAUUAAAAAUAUAGUCAGUU